UGAAACAACGUGUUUCAGACAAUAUGAGUUUUAUGGCAUUCAUUUUCUGGUGAUUUAUGCCAGGUUUCAUUCAA